AUACAAGUAUUCAUGUGAUGAGAGGCACUGAAUCACUGAAAAAAAGUGACCUAGAAGCAACAUCAGUAUUCAGAGAGGUGGACUCUCGCUUUGUUGCCAGGCUAAAGUGCUGUGGCGCAAUCUCAGCUCACUGCAAUCUCCACCUCCCAAGUUCAAGCGAUUCUCCUGCCCCAGCCUCCAGAAUAGCUGGGAUUACAGGCAUGUGCCACCAUACCUGGCUAAUUUUGUAUUUUUAAUAGAGAUGGGGUUUCACCAUAUUAGUCAGGAUGGUCUCGAUCUCUUAACUUCAUGAUCCGCCCGCCUCGGCCUCCCAAAGUGCUGGAAUUACAGGAGUGAGCCACCACACCUGGUCUGUUUUACAGUUUUGAACUUAAAAGUUACAAGCUAUGGAAACACGCUUGGGCUGCAAUCAGAAUCCUGGAUGGAAGCGGGUAUUGGGAUGCUUUUCUCGAUGUUUUCUGUAGAUCCACUGACUACCCUCUCUGCAGUGAUCAGUGCCUUUCGGUGUUGAACUCCUUGGACUGCAAUAGGUGAAUUUCUCUUAUCCACUCUUUCUGGUAACUUUCAGCCAAUAAGAAGCAUAGCCAGUAGAAUAUAAAACAGAAAGGGGGCUCAGUAUUUCUUCUUCACUUCCUUCCUUAACUUUCUGAUAGUAGCUGAAACUUUCUAUGAUGAAAUUUCCAACUGGGAAAGACCCUCCUACUUGACCUUAGCGGUCCCUAGGCUCUGGCAAUGCUCUUUCUUCUCCUUGCUCCUUCAGGCGGAGGACUGGUAAUGGCUUGCCACUCAAUGUAUUGGUACUCUGGAGUCUAAAUAUUUGUUAUUGCUUCCACUAACUUUGCUUUUAUCUCUCUAGCCUAUUUAAAAUUCCGUCAGAAUGCGCCUUCUCUUUCCAUCUGGAAAUAUGACUGAUAUAGAUAAGAACAUCGCUGGCUUAUAGGAAUGCAUCUUGUGAGAAAAAAAAUUCACAAAAUAUUGCAACACAAUAGUCACUGUCAAAGACCUUAUGACUCAUGUGAGAUUAUACGAGUAUUUUUAAGGUUUAGUAUCUAAGACAGUUAGGAAAUUGGCUUCAAAGAAAUCCACUUAAGUAAAAGAAGAGAAAAGAAAAUAGAAAGGAAGGUACAAAGUAUAAUAGCCAAAACAAUUUUGAAUAAGAAUAAAAAUUAAAGAUUCAUUCCAUUCAAUUUCAAAACAUGCUAUAAAAAUUAUUAUAAAUUACGUGAAAAUAAUUAAGACUAUAUGGUAUUGGUGAAAAGAUAGGCACAUAAAUCA
rnacentral:lncRNA from 1 species